UACGUAGGGGGCAAGCGUUGUCCGGAAUCAUUGGGCGUAAAGAGCGUGUAGGCGGCCCGGUUAGUCCGCUGUGAAAGUCGGGGGCUCAACCCUCGAAUGCCGGCGGAUACUGUCGGGCUAGAGUCCGGAAGAGGCGAGUGGAAUUCCUGGUGUAGCGGUGAAAUGCGCAGAUAUCAGGAGGAACACCAACGGCGAAGGCAGCUCGCUGGGACGGUACUGACGCUGAGGCGCGAAAGCCAGGGGAGCGAACGGG
rnacentral:rRNA from 1 species